UUCAGAAGUGGAGUCAUUUAUUGAGGUUUAUAUUGAGGAGUCAAAGAGGAGUCAACCAAACAUUUCCAGUACUACCAUCGAUGGUAAAUUGGAAAAUGAAUUUGCAAAUUGGUUCAAUGACUAUGCACAUGAUCCUUCAAAUAACAUUUCAAACAAAUAUAUAAAGGAUCUUGCAAA